rnacentral:rRNA from 1 species
AGAGUUUGAUCAUGGCUCAGGACGAACGCUGGCGGCGUGCUUAACACAUGCAAGUGGAGCGACGAACCGGGCUUCGGCCCGGGGCAAAGCCGCGAACGGGUGAGUAACACGUGGGUAACCUGCCCCGAUGACUGGGACAACCCGGGGAAACUCGGGCUAAUACCGGAUGUGCUCCCACCACACCAGUGGUGUGAGUAAAGGUAGCUUCGGCCUCCGCAUCGGGAUGGGCCCGCGGCCCAUUAGCUAGUUGGUGGGGUAAAGGCCUACCAAGGCGACGACGGGUAGCUGGUCUGAGAGGAUGAUCAGCCACACUGGGACUGAGACACGGCCCAGACUCCUACGGGAGGCAGCAGUCGGGAAUCUUGCGCAAUGGGCGAAAGCCUGACGCAGCAACACCGUGUGAGCGACGAAGGCCUUCGGGUCGUAAAGCUCUGUUGUUGGGGACGAAGGGUUAGGGGUUAAUAGCCCCGAGCCUGACGGUACCCUUCGAGGAAGCCCCGGCUAACUACGUGCCAGCAGCCGCGGUAAUACGUAGGGGGCGAGCGUUGUCCGGAAUUACUGGGCGUAAAGGGCGCGUAGGCGGCCUUCUAAGUCGGACGUGAAAUCCCCAGGCUUAACUUGGGAACUGCGUCCGAUACUGGAGGGCUUGAAUGCGGGAGAGGGAUGUGGAAUUCCAGGUGUAGCGGUGAAAUGCGUAGAUAUCUGGAGGAACACCGGUGGCGAAGGCGGCAUCCUGGACCGACAUUGACGCUGAGGCGCGAAAGCUAGGGGAGCAAACGGGAUUAGAUACCCCAGUAGUCC